UGGAGCUGAGCAGUGAUGUGGUCACCAGCCUCGAUGUGGCCGUGGAGGGGCUUAACGGGCAGCUGCCCAACCUUGACCUGCUCAAUCUCUUCCAGACCUUCUGCCAGAAAGGGGGCCUGUUGUGCACGCUUCAGGGCAAGCUGCAGCCCCAGGACUGGACAUCAUUGGAUGGACCGCUGCAGGGCCUGCAGACACUGCUGCUCAUGGUUCUGCGGCAGGCCUCCGGCCGCCCCCACGGCUCCCAUGGCCUCUUCCUGCGCUACCGUGUGGAGGCCCUAACCCUGCGUGGCAUCAAUAGCUUCCGCCAGUACAAGUAUGACCUGGUGGCAGUGGGCAAGGCUUUGGAGGGCAUGUUCCGCAAGCUCAACCACCUCCUGGAGCGCCUGCACCAGUCCUUCUUCCUCUACUUGCUCCCCGGCCUCUCCCGCUUCGUCUCCAUCGGCCUCUACAUGCCCGCUGUCGGCUUCUUGCUCCUGGUCCUUGGUCUCAAGAUAUCCUCUGCCCCUUGCCAUCUACCUGUGACCAGCCUCCAGUCUCCUCAACUCUAGGCUGGGGAGAGUCUUCCAUCCUGAUGGGGGGUGGGGUACGGGGGUGAGCCCUGGGUCCCCCUCUGGGCAGAUCCCGUUACACCUCUUGUUGGGGUCCUUGAUUGGGCUACGCUCUGGAACUGUGGAUGCAGCUGCAUGAGGCCGGAAUGGGCCUUGAGGAGCCCGGGGGUGCCCCUGGCCCCAGUGUACCCCUUCCCCCAUCACAGGUGAUGGCACCCCCUUCUGUUGUUGGAAUGGGCUUCUGGGGUCUGACUGGUGUUUAGUGUUGCAACUUAGCCUCAGCUGGUGGGAUGGUGGUGGUCUUUGGGGAUCCCCUGGCCCCAGGGUCCAUCUCCAAGAGUCUGUGUGCCCUGCAGGGUGUGGGGCUGGCCUCGCUCGUGGCACCUCUGCUGAUCUCGCAGGCCAUGGGACUGGCCCUCUAUGUCCUGCCAGUGCUGGGCCAACACGUUGCCACCCAGCACUUCCCAGUGGCAGAGGCUGAGGCUGUGGUGCUGACACUGCUGGCGAUUUAUGCAGCUGGCCUGGCCCUGCCCCACAAUACCCACCGGGUGAUAAGCACACAGGCCCCAGACAGGGGCUGGAUGGCACUGAAGCUGGUAGCCCUGAUCUACCUAGCACUGCAGCUGGGCUGCAUCGCCCUCACCAACUUCUCACUGGGCUUCCUGCUGGCCACCACCAUGGUGCCCACUGCUGCGCUUGCCAAGCCUCAUGGGCCCCAGACCCUCUAUGCUGCCCUGCUGGUGCUGACCAGCCCGGCAGCCACGCUCCUUGGCAGCCUGUUCCUGUGGCGGGAGCUGCAGGAGGCGCCACUGUCACUGGCCGAGGGCUGGCAGCUCUUCCUGGCAGCGCUGGCCCAGGGUGUGCUGGAGCACCACACCUACGGUGCCCUGCUCUUCCCACUGCUGUCCCUGGGCCUCUACCCCUGCUGGCUGCUUUUCUGGAAUGUGCUCUUCUGGAAGUGAGAUCUGCCUGUCCGGGCUGGGACAGAGACUCCCCAAGGACCCCAUUCUGCCUCCUUCUGG
rnacentral:sRNA from 1 species